rnacentral:rRNA from 1 species
AGUGAACGCUGGCGGUAGGCCUAACACAUGCAAGUCGAACGGCAGCACAGUAAGAGCUUGCUCUUACGGGUGGCGAGUGGCGGACGGGUGAGGAAUACAUCGGAAUCUACUUUUUCGUGGGGGAUAACGUAGGGAAACUUACGCUAAUACCGCAUACGACCUACGGGUGAAAGCAGGGGAUCUUCGGACCUUGCGCGAUUGAAUGAGCCGAUGUCGGAUUAGCUAGUUGGCGGGGUAAAGGCCCACCACGGCGACGAUCCGUAGCUGGUCUGAGAGGAUGAUCGGCCACACUGGAACUGGACCACGGUCCAGACUCCUACGGGAGGCAGCAGUGGGGAAUAUUGGACAAUGGGCGCAAGCCUGAUCCAGCCAUACCGCGUGGGUGAAGAAGGCCUUCGGGUUGUAAAGCCCUUUUGUUGGGAAAGAAAAGCAGCAGGUUAAUACCCCGCUGUUCUGACGGUACCCAAAGAAUAAGCACCGGCUAACUUCGUG